CUGGUUGAUCCUGCCAGUAGUCAUAUGCUUGUCUCAAAGAUUAAGCCAUGCAUGUGUAAGUAUAAGCCCUUGAACGGCGAAACUGCGAAUGGCUCAUUAAGACAGUUAUCGUUUCUUUGAUGACCAAUUGCUACUUGGAUAACUGUAGUAAUUCUAGAGCUAAUACAUGCGGAUGCCUUUCGGGGCUAGCGUUUAUUAGAUACAAAGCCAACAUUUCCUUUUGGAAAUUCUGGUGAUUCAUAAUAACCAAGCGAAUCGGUCUUUUGACCGAUGCAUCUUUCAAGCUUCUGACCUAUCAGCUAUUGACGGUAGGGUAUUGGCCUACCGUGGCGAUGACGGGUGACGGGGGAUCAGGGUUCGAUUCCGGAGAGGGAGCCUGAGAAACGGCUACCACAUCUAAGGAUGGCAGCAGGCGCGCAAAUUACCCAAUCCUGACACAGGGAGGUAGUGACAAGAAAUAACAAUACAGGGCUUUUAGUCUUGUAAUUGGAAUGAGUGGAUGUUAAAUCUAUCCACGAGUAUCAAUUGGAGGGCAAGUCUGGU
rnacentral:rRNA from 1 species